GCGACCUCAUCAGCCAGGAAAGGUGGCACGCAAUACUGAUGUGUUGUUGAUUGCCACAUCAGCCUCGAAAACACGAAAGGUCCUACGCCGCCCGUGAAGUUCUACAGAUUUCCUGGGAAGUGGUACGAGAAGGACAGACGACAAGCAUGGAUAACUGCCGUGCGCCGAGUCAAAUGGAAGCGGCGCCAAACAGACCAAUGGCAAUCACAACAGUCUUCUCAGCAGUCAGCACCACCGGGACAUGUGCUUUCCUACUGCAGCGACGCAGCUCUUGAGCAGCGGCAAGACACGUGUGAAACAGACUCCAGAACAAGCCUUUGUGAAGUGACGGAACCGUCAAGAAGCAGCCCAAUGGAUCUGCAGUCAUCGAGUAGUAUGACAACAGAAGUUCCUGCUGCCAGUGUGACUUAUGUUGUAAUUGAAAUAAAUGUGGCUAAAUUUCUGAA